rnacentral:rRNA from 1 species
GAGGCUGACAGCCAGUAGCGUGAGGAUGACUGCCCUAUGGGUUGUAAACUUCUUUUAUAAAGGAAUAAAGUCGGGUAUGCAUACCCGUUUGCAUGUACUUUAUGAAUAAGGAUCGGCUAACUCCGUGCCAGCAGCCGCGGUAAUACGGAGGAUCCGAGCGUUAUCCGGAUUUAUUGGGUUUAAAGGGAGCGUAGAUGGAUGUUUAAGUCAGUUGUGAAAGUUUGCGGCUCAACCGUAAAAUUGCAGUUGAUACUGGAUGUCUUGAGUGCAGUUGAGGCAGGCGGAAUUCGUGGUGUAGCGGUGAAAUGCUUAGAUAUCACGAAGAACUCCGAUUGCGAAGGCAGCCUGCUAAGCUGCAACUGACAUUGAGGCUCGAAAGUGUGGGUAUCAAACAGGAUUAGAUACCCUGGUAGUCCACACGGUAAACGAUGAAUACUCGCUGUUUGCGAUAUACGGCAAGCGGCCAAGCGAAAGCGUUAAGUAUUCCACCUGGGGAGUACGCCGGCAACGGUGAAACUCAAAGGAAAUUGACGG